rnacentral:tRNA from 1 species
UAUAAAGUAGUCUAAAGAGGGCGAAGGAUCUAUGCUCCUUAAGUGUUGACAUUAACCUUUAUAG